AGUGAACGCUGGCGGUAGGCCUAACACAUGCAAGUCGAACGGCAGCACAGUAAGAGCUUGCUCUUACGGGUGGCGAGUGGCGGACGGGUGAGGAAUACAUCGGAAUCUACUUUUUCGUGGGGGAUAACGUAGGGAAACUUACGCUAUUACCGCAUACGACCUACGGGUGAAAGCAGGGGAUCUUCGGACCUUGCGCGAUUGAAUGAGCCGAUGUCGGAUUAGCUAGUUGGCGGGGUAAAGGCCCACCAAGGCGACGAUCGGUAGCUGGUCUGAGAGGAUGAUCAGCCACACUGGAACUGAGACACGGUCCAGACUCCUACGGGAGGCAGCAGUGGGGAAUAUUGGACAAUGGGCGCAAGCCUGAUCCAGCCAUACCGCGUGGGUGAAGAAGGCCUUCGGGUUGUAAAGCCCUUUUGUUGGGAAAGAAAAGCAGCAGGUUAAUACCCCGCUGUUCUGACGGUACCCAAAGAAUAAGCACCGGCUAACUUCGUG
rnacentral:rRNA from 1 species